UAAUAGCGUAUAUUAAAGUUGUUGCAGUUAAAAAGCUCGUAGUUGAAUUUCGGCGUCCUUUUUAUGGGAUAGUCGGCGGGCAUUUGUUCGUCAGGCUGCCCGGGGGGCGUCAUACCGAGUCUAGUUCUGGCUCCUGUGACAGGGGGUCGUGACGGGGCUAGGCUCCUUUUACUUUGAGAAAAUCAGAGUGUUCAAAGCAGGCAAUGACUGCCUACUGAAUGUGUUAGCAUGGAAUAAUAGAAUAGGACUUUGGUCAUAUUUUGUUGGUUUUAGUGGCCGAGGUAAUGAUUAAUAGGGAUAGUUGGGGGCAUUCAUAUUUCAUUGUCAGAGGUGAAAUUCUUGGAUUUAUGAAAGAUGAACUACUGCGAAAGCAUUUGCCAAGGAUGUUUUCAUUAA
rnacentral:rRNA from 1 species